rnacentral:rRNA from 1 species
UGCCAGACUCCUACGGGAGGCAGCAGUGGGGAAUAUUGCACAAUGGGGGAAACCCUGAUGCAGCGACGCCGCGUGAGUGAAGAAGUAUUUCGGUAUGUAAAGCUCUAUCAGCAGGGAAGAAAUAGCGACCUUUGGGUCGCCAGACGGUACCUGACUAAGAAGCCCCGGCUAACUACGUGCCAGCAGCCGCGGUAAUACGUAGGGGGCAAGCGUUAUCCGGAUUUACUGGGUGUAAAGGGAGCGUAGACGGCAGCACAAGUCUGAAGUGAAAUGCCGGGGCUUAACCCCGGAACUGCUUUGGAAACUGUGCAGCUAGAGUGCAGGAGAGGUAAGUGGAAUUCCUAGUGUAGCGGUGAAAUGCGUAGAUAUUAGGAGGAACACCAGUGGCGAAGGCGGCUUACUAAACUGUGACUGACAUUGAUGCUCGAAAGUGUGGGUAUCAAACAGGAUUAGAUACCCCCUGUAC